rnacentral:lncRNA from 1 species
CCAGGAAGUGAAAAUAAGCGGCCAACUGAAAUCUGUCUCUUCUGAGCCUUGUAAGCCACACAGGCCACACCGGCCACACAGUGAGGGCUCUCCCCACCUCAAGUGCUCACGCUCCACGACCAAGGUGAGCUGCCAUAAGUGACCCUAUGUGGGAGCAUCUGCUGGGGCCACAGUGCUUGACAUCAUCCGAGAAAUUCUAACCAAGUUCCCAACGUCUGUUUUGGCGGUUAGCCAUCAAGUCCCAAAACAAAGGAAGCAUUGAAGGUGAUUCUAGAGACUGGCCACCAGGACCACCCAACCAUGGCUACCACAUGGGGUCCUAGGAGGCCAGAGCCUCAAGUCUAGGGAAAGGUCCUUUUGAGGCAGUCUCUGUGUGUGUGUGUGUGUGUGCGCAUGCACGUCCCCACACACGUGUGCGAGGAAGGGAAUGAAGGCUUGGCACACAAGUUGUGACAGGUGGUUGACCUUCAGUCGAUCUGUGGUUGGGCCCAGAGCUGUCUGCAUCUGGUGGAGGGGACUGUCUGGCAUCUGGUCCAAUCGCUCACACCACGGCCGCGGAGCUAAGGGCCUUCGUUCAGGCACAGCUCACAAUUGUUGAUCCGCUUUGAGAACUCUACCAGGUCUCACAACCAAGCACCAGUGAUGCCAUCCGUCUUUUCCUGUGCAUUCAAAUUAACCUCUAAACCUUCUUUUUAGGAGGGCCUUUCCUCUGGGCAAGGACGUCACAGGCAGAGUGGCCAGAGCCAUGGCCCAGUGGCUGGGCACACCAUUUCCUCAGCAGAAAUGGGACAAGGCCCAAGAUAAGAUGGCUCUCUCCUUGGGCAGGUCAUUUCACCUCUCUGAGCCUCAGUCUCCUCUGUAACAAGGGGGGUAGUAACAGCAACAAUGUCCGAGGACUGUUGUGAAGAUAAACUAGGAGUCAGUGUAAAGGGCUUGGCACGAUGCCCGGCACACAAGAGCACUCAGUGAAGGUGAGCUGCUGCUACUGUUUCCCUUUGGGUCCUUCCAAUCCUCAAUUGGGGCGUUCUGUCCUUUAAAUAGUCACAGGAUUGUAGGAAAUGUGAUCUCUGAAGACGACUUUUAGAAGUGGUUCUUGGGAGGUUUGUGACAUUUCUGCCAGUUCCUAAAUGCAGCCUAGAAAAGAGGGUAGGGAUGGGGCCGGGGAGAUGUCCUGGGCUGGCUCUUACCCAGCCUCCUUUCUCCAGGCUUCCCAUCCAUCAUCCACUCAGUGCCAGGUGGUAGGAUGCCUCAGUGACUGAGGCAUGGCCCCUGCUCUCAGGGUCAGCACACUGGCCCUUGGGGACAUCAAAGGGG